rnacentral:lncRNA from 1 species
UACUUCACAACUCUAAUGGAACCCAGCAACUCACUAGGAAACUACCUCUUUGACCUUUAUGCUUGGCAACUGAACAGGUGCUUGGCAAGGAUGUUAAUGUAUUAGGUGUUAAUUUUGAGUCCUGCAUUUUCUUUGACCUUUAUGUUUCAUUAUUUUUGGAUGAUUGUUAUACUAAGUUGUUCAUAUAUGACAUCUUUAAGUGUUGUUCAUAUAUGACAUCUUUAAGUGUUGUUCAUAUAUGACAUCUUUAAGUGGCUAUGUUACCCCUGAUAGUCACUUAUUCAUAAGAGGGGGAAAUAGUAAACAAGUUAUCAAAGAAAAGUUGAAGAAUUACACCUUUGUUGAGUGGUAUUUUUCAUUAAUUGUAUUAUGAUACUUCUAUUAUAACAAACUGUACUUGCUUGAUCUAUCUGCACAUGACAACAAUUUGUUUAAUUAGGGA